rnacentral:rRNA from 1 species
GACGAACGCUGGCGGCGUGCUUAACACAUGCAAGUCGAGCGGAAAGGCCUCCUUCGGGGGGUACUCGAGCGGCGAACGGGUGAGUAACACGUGAGUAAUCUGCCCCUCACUCUGGGAUAACUGCCUGAAAGGGUGGCUAAUACCGGAUGCGACCGUCCCCUGCAUGGGGUGGUGGUGGAAAGGGUUUCUGGUGGGGGAUGUGCUCGCGGCCUAUCAGCUUGUUGGUGGGGUAAUGGCCUACCAAGGCUUUGACGGGUAGCCGGCCUGAGAGGGUGACCGGCCACACUGGGACUGAGACACGGCCCAGACUCCUACGGGAGGCAGCAGUGGGGAAUAUUGGACAAUGGGCGGAAGCCUGAUCCAGCAACGCCGCGUGAGGGAUGACGGCCUUCGGGUUGUAAACCUCUUUCAGCACAGACGAAGC